UACGGGGGGGGCAAGCGUUGUUCGGAAUUACUGGGCGUAAAGGGCGCGUAGGCGGUUUGCUAAGUUGGAUGUGAAAACUCUGGGCUUAACCCAGAGCCUGCAUCCAAAACUGGUAAACUUGAGUACUGGAGGGGAAAGCGGAAUUCCUGGUGUAGCGGUGAAAUGCGUAGAUAUCAGGAGGAACACCAGCGGCGAAGGCGGCGCUCUAGGCUGGCACUGACACUGAGGAGCGAAAGCGUGGGGAGCGAACAGG
rnacentral:rRNA from 1 species